CCAGACUCCUACGGGAGGCAGCAGUGGGGGAUAUUGCACAAUGGGGGAAACCCUGAUGCAGCGACGCCGCGUGAGUGAAGAAGUAUUUCGGUAUGUAAAGCUCUAUCAGCAGGGAAGAAAAUGACAGUACCUGACCAAGAAGCCCCGGCUAACUACGUGCCAGCAGCCGCGGUAAUACGUAGGGGGCAAGCGUUAUCCGGAUUUACUGGGUGUAAAGGGAGCGUAGGCGGUUAUGUAAGUCUGGAGUGAAAGCCCGGGGCCCAACCCCGGAACUGCUUUGGAAACUGUGUAACUAGAGUGCAGGAGGGGCAGGCGGAAUUCCUGGUGUAGCGGUGAAAUGCGUAGAUAUCAGGAGGAACACCGGCGGCGAAGGCGGCCUGCUGGACGGAAACUGACGUUGAGGCUCGAAAGCGUGGGGAGCAAACAGGAUUAGAUACCCGCGUA
rnacentral:rRNA from 1 species